rnacentral:rRNA from 1 species
UACGGAGGGUGCAAGCGUUGUCCGGAAUCACUGGGCGUAAAGGGCGCGUAAGCGGCUCAUGAAGGCUGUGGUGAAAGUCCGGGGCUCAACCUCGGAUCGGCCGUGGCGACUCGUGGGCUGGAGCACUGUAGAGGCGGGUGGAAUUCCGGGUGUAGCGGUGGAAUGCGUAGAGAUCCGGAAGAACACCAGUGGCGAAGGCGGCCCGCUGGGCAGUGGCUGACGCUGAGGCGCGACAGCGUGGGGAGCAAACAGG